GUUCAUGGCCAAAACGUCCUCGUAAAAGCGUGAUCUCGUCACAUCUCAAAAGCUAAGCAGAACUGGGCCUGGUUAGUGCUUGAAUGGGAGACUGCUGGAAAUAUCAGGUGCCACA
rnacentral:rRNA from 1 species